rnacentral:lncRNA from 12 species
CAGACCCCGCAAGUGCCCGGGCGCGGGGCGUGGGUGUCCAGAUUGCUCUAGCUUAGCUGGUCUUUGGGGGGACGCCGGGUUACCGACGACGUUUUGCCACGCGGCUCCGGCCCUGGCUCCCUGCCUCCUUCUCCCGUCCGGCUGCGCAGGCCGGACCACCCGAGUUACAGAGCACAGAUGUAAACACUAAGUCCCAAGGUGACAUUCUUGUUUUUAACAGUGAAAUUGAAUCAUGGACAUUAUUAACUCCAAGUUCUACAUAAGUAACAGCAACUUCUCUCCAAAUUUGGUAAGUAGAUUUGUCCAAACAGGGCGGGAAAUCUCAAGUCUUCGGGUUUCAGAUCAACCAGUGCCCGGCCCGUAUCCGUAUCCGAGCGGCGGCCGCAUAACUCACGCUUCCAGGCUCCAGCUCGGCGUUGCGGAGACACUGCGGAAUCCGGGGCGCCCGGGCAGGGCGUGUGCGGCGCCGAGUCCCCAGGUCCGCCGACCUCUGGCGGGAAAUCUUUCAUCCGGCCUCGGUCUCGGGGCUCCUGCGGCCCGUGCGGCCGGUGACCCGCGUGGACGGCGGGGGCUGCCCGGGGCUCCCAGCCGCCCGCCCCGGCCCCCGCCCGGCCCCCGCCCGGCCCCCGCCCGGCCCCCGCCCGCCUGCCCGUGCCGCCCCGAGGCGCGCUCCGCGGGGCUCGUGGGCCGCCUCCGCCCUCCCGCGGCGCUGGGCCCCCGAUGAGCCUUCCUUGGUGCUGACUGAUUCCUUGUUCCUGUACCUGCCCCUGGAAACGCCAGAUGUCUCGGGAUUAAAAAGAAAGGGAAAAAACGGGAUAUCUGAUUUCUAAUUUGGAACAAACGGUUCUUCCAAGCCGCUGUAUGAAAUAAAACCAAACACGGCCACA